rnacentral:misc_RNA from 1 species
AACCUUAUGGACCUGCGGGCGUAUACCUGCGGAGGGAUCAUUACCAAUUAUAUAUGUUAGUUUGCCUGUGGCUUCGGUCACUGGUAUUAACUAUUAUGUAAACGUUGAACUAGAUCAAUUGGUGUGGAUUGCUUGGGAAUGGACGAAGCGACAAGCCUCUUCCGGACAGGCAAGCCCCACACUGAUAACCUUUUUCAUAUCAUUUACUCGUACAUACUACAAACAACAAAAAAUCUUAUA